AGAGUUUGAUCCUGGCUCAGGACGAACGCUGGCGGCGUGCUUAAUACAUGCAAGUCGAGCGAGGUUACUGUUUUGGAUCCCUUCGGGGUGAAGAAGCUUUAACCUAGCGGCGGACGGGUGAGUAACGCGUGGGUAACCUACCCCAAAGUCCGGGAUAACAGCGGGAAACCGCUGCUAAUACCGGAUGCCUUUGCCUUGGGGCAUCUUGAGGUAAAGAAAGGUAACGCUUUGGGAUGGGCCCGCGUCCCAUUAGCUAGUUGGUGAGGUAACGGCUCACCAAGGCGACGAUGGGUAGCCGGCCUGAGAGGGUGGACGGCCACACUGGGACUGAGACACGGCCCAGACUCCUACGGGAGGCAGCAGUAGGGAAUAUUGCGCAAUGGACGGAAGUCUGACGCAGCGACGCCGCGUGAGCGAUGAAGGUCUUCGGAUCGUAAAGCUCUGUCCUUGGGGAAGAAGGCGAAAGCUUGACGGUACCCAAGAAGAAAGCCCCGGCUAACUACGUGCCAGCAGCCGCGGUAAU
rnacentral:rRNA from 1 species